CCUACGGGAGGCAGCAGUGGGGAAUAUUGCACAAUGGGGGAAACCCUGAUGCAGCGACGCCGCGUGAAGGAAGAAGUAUUUCGGUAUGUAAACUUCUAUCAGCAGGGAAGAAAAUGACGGUGCCUGACUAAGAAGCCCCGGCUAACUACGUGCCAGCAGCCGCGGUAAUACGUAGGGGGCAAGCGUUAUCCGGAUUUAAUGGGUGGAAAGGGAGCGUAGGCGGUGAAGCACGUCGGAAGUGAAAGCCGGGGGCUCAACUCCGGGACUGCUUUUGAAACUGUUUAACUAGAUUGCAGGAGAGGUAAGUGGAAUUCCUAGUGUAGCGGUGAAAUGCGUAGAUAUUAGGAGGAACACCAGUGGCGAAGGCGGCUUACUGGACUGUAAAUGACGCUGAGGCUCGAAAGCGUGGGGAGCAAACAGGAUUAGAUACCCUAGUAGUC
rnacentral:rRNA from 1 species